GUGAGUAACGCGUGGGUAACCUGCCCUAUGGAGGGGGAUAACACAGUGAACACUGUGCUAAUACCGCAUAAGCGCACGGUGUCGCAUGACACAGUGUGAAAAACUCCGGUGCCAUAUGAUGGCACCGCGUCAGAUUAGCUAGUUGGUGAGAUAACAGCUCACCAAGGCGACGAUCUGUGGCCGACCUGAGAGGGUGAUCGGCCACAUUGGGACUGAGACACGGCCCAAACUCCUACGGGAGGCCGCAGUGGGGGAUAUUGCACAAUGGGGGAAACCCUGAUGCAGCAAUGCCGCGUGAAGGAAGAAGGUCUUCGGACCGUACACUUCUAUCAGCAGGGAAGACAAUGACUGUACCUGACUAAGAAGCCCCGGCUAACUACGUGCCAGCAGCCGUGGUAAUACGUAUGGGGCAAGCGUUAUCCGGACUUACUGGGUGUCAAGGGUACGUAGGCGGCAUGGCAAGUCAGAUGUGAAAGCCCGGGGCUCAACUCCGGGACUGCAUUUGAAACUGUCAAGCUAGAGUACAGGAGAGGAAAGCGGAAUUCCUAGUGUAGCGGUGAAAUGCGUCGAUAUUAGGAAGAACACCAGUGGCGAAUGCGGCUUUCUGGACUGUAACUGACGCUGAGGUACGACAGCGUGGGGAGCGAACAGGAUUAGAUACCCUGGUAAUCCACGCUGUAAACGAUGAAUGCUAAGUGUCGGGCGUCACAACUCGGUGCCG
rnacentral:rRNA from 1 species